GGUGGGUACAUAUAAAUUUGCAUCCUACAUCCACCUUGGCUUACCCUCUUUUGUGUAUACCAAAAGAAAAACCAACAAAGAAGAAUGGAGAGAACUGGUACUCUGCUUUUCCUCAUGUUGAUUGUGCUUCUAGGAAAUUCUUCGAUUCAUGCAGAGGAGCAUUGCAACAGCUAUGAUUUCGCAAAGCUCGUAUGCGUGAAGCCACUGUGUUACCUGAACUGCAAGAUCUUCUUUCGGAAGCACCUGAGGAGCUACAGCUGCGAGGGCACCUGGCCACAACGCAAGUGUGUCUGCUACGCCUGCGAUGACAAUUAGACAACUCAGUCAAUGGAGACAAGCACCAUAAUUGAACUGGGGAAAUAACAUUUGCUUAUAGAAAGCAUCUUGAUCGUAGUGCAUGUUUAACUGAAUAACAUGGAAUUUUGAAGUCAGUAUGAUUUAUAUGUUAUACAUCUUGAUUAGUUUUUGAUGCAUGGUCUGGAGGUAAUAUUAUUAAAUAAAAUGUCAGGAGCUAAUCAUUUUUUUUCAUUGCA